GGUUCGAUGGUGUAGUCGGUCAUCACAUCUGUCUCACAUCGCCUCAGUACGGACUUGUGCACAGAAGGUCUCCAGUUCGAAUCUGGAUCGAACCA